CUACGGGUCGCUGCAGUGGGGAAUAUUGCACAAUGGAGGAAACUCUGAUGCAGCCAUGCCGCGUGUGUGAAGAAGGCCCGAGGGUUGUAAAGCACUUUCAAUUGGGAGGAAGGUUAUGUAGCUAAUACCUGCAUAAUUUGACGUUACCUUUAGAAGAAGCACCGGCAACUCUGUGCCAGCAGCCGCGGUAAUACAGAGGGUGCAAGCGUUAUUCGGAAUUACUGGGCGUAAAGCGCGCGUAGGCGGAUUGUUAAGUCAGAUGUGAAAGCCCUGGGCUCAACCUGGGAACGGCAUUUGAUACUGGCAGUCUAGAGUUUAAGAGAGGGAAGGGGAAUUUCUAGUGUAGCAGUGAAAUGCGUAGAUAUUAGAAGGAACAUCAGUGGCGAAGGCGCCUUCCUGGCUUAAAACUGACGCUGAGGUGCGAAAGCGUGGGUAGCGAACGGGAUUAGAUACCCUCGUAGUC
rnacentral:rRNA from 1 species